ensembl:lincRNA
GUCUUUCUAAACAACAAGAUGAAAAAGUAAAGAAAGGCCAAAUUUGGCCACAAGCAUGGAUGAAAGGCUGAGACACACUUCUUGGCCUACCGUGGCUCUGGACCUGAGGCCACCAUGUACAGCUGCCCAGAACCUUGCUGGUGGUGAACCCCGUGCAUGGAAAGCCUAGAGAAGGACACAAAUGAGAAACUGAAGCCUGGUCACCCAGCUGUAGAGAAGUGACGUUAUGUGGGAAGCAAUGUUAUGAGAAGACAACAGCAACAGCAUCGUGCAAUGAGGAGAGCAAACAGGGACUCUUUCAAGGGGACAAAACUAAAGAUGCUGCUGCACACAUCUCUUGGUAAAGUACCCACACAGAUCCCCUACAGUCUGAUCAGAAUGGCAGCCAAUCUGAUGAGGAAGUGCCAUCUGAAGUGAGCUCGGUGAUCUGAAGAGGAAAAGUAAGGAAUCACUUGUGCAAUAAACAGUGAGUAGGGAGGGCAUUGGACCAAAAAUCAGGUAGGCAAAAAGCAAGAGUAGGUGAGGAUGGAAAGGCUAACUUGGACCAGCAGUGUCUGAUCAAAGUGCGGGGGCAAGCAAGAACAAUGGGGCUCAUACCCACGGCCCUGUUCCCCUUUCCCAAGUCAUGCACCUGGCCCAACAACCUGAGGCAGCAUCCAUUAGCACAAUCAUGGAGUCUGGCCCUGGGUUUGGGCUGGCUGCCUCCCUAGGACCAGAUGGAGCAAGUCUUCUCAGGCUGGGCUCCAGAGAUGGGAGUUGAUUCAGGGGAUAAUGAGGAGCCUGCUAAGGGUUUGAAGACAGAAGAGAGAUGUGUGAAAUUGAGUUAGAUUUAAGGACGAGUUCAUUUAUGAGACAGACGCCAUGACAGGUGAUGACGGGCUGCACCAAAGUUAAUUGGGAAAUUCCAGUGAACUGUAUUUGUUCAGCUUCUGAAUGAGGGAAUGGGAGACUAGAAAACAGGAACUGCUCAAAAACGUAUUGCACCCUUUGGAUGGGAAACAAGAAUGCUGACAAAAGUGGGAGUCCGGAUUGAGCAAGAUGGGCAGAAAAUAGCUAUAGACCUAUGGGAACAGAAACCAGCACCUUAACACCUUAAACACGGCAGGCACUUCAAAUGACCCUCAACCAUUUAGCACCCCCUUAGCUGGCCUCACACCAGAAUGCAAGGAAAGAAUUAUUUUCCCACUACUGUGCUGUUUCAGCUGAAAACACCCUGAUGUCAAAGUACCAACUAUGUACUGAGGACUAACAAAGGAAGGUAUAAAAUUGGGUUUCCUGGUAAAUAUUUUGUUCUUGAAAACUCCUCCCCUGCCAAACCUUCUGCACAAAGGUAUCCCUGACACGGUGACAAGGCCCAUCCCUUUAGGAUGAGACAUAGCCAUGCCAGGCAAGAGUCUGAUAAAGGAAGCAAGGCAUGCUAUGAGAUCAAGAUUGCUCUCCCCUCAGCCAACCUGGGAAAGUGGAAUUUAUCUCCUGCUGUUGUUUCUGAAUAAAGAUCUUGGUUUUAAGUGCAAAUAACUGUCUGGUAGGGAAAACAAAAAGCUCAUUACUAGCCAUUCACACCUUGAUUCAUUUAACAGGGCCCAAAGGAGGGCAGAGCCUCCAGGAUAAAGAAUAAUAAAUAUUAAUCACACUUUAGAAUAAAUUGAGAAGUUAUGCACUCAUUAUCUUGAUCCUUACAGCAAUCCUGAGAGCCUUACAGUAUUCUCUCCCUUUUAUAGCUGAGGGAAUGAGGACCCAGAGACUUCCAGUGACUUACUGAAGAACACACAUGGUUGCUGGCAGAGCUGGGACUUGAACUCAGGGCUCCUGAAUCCAGCCUGGCACCCUGUCCUCGGUGUGGGUGGUAGGUAGCUGCUGAGGGCUGUGGGGUACUGUCCCAAGGUUAUGUGUGAUGCAGGCCUGAGAAGACCAGAGUUGGGGACUCCUUGAGGCAUGCCAUCACCUGCCCCUACCGCCACACUGUCAAGGCCUCUGUCCUAAACUCAAGGGGAGAUGGAAUAAGGAUGAAAGAAUGGUGAGCAAUAAUCUCUGGCUACCUGUCCACCCUAAAACCUUCCCCUCCAUCCCAGUGGUUAGCUUCUCAGGCUUGCCCUGGAGAACCUACCUACAGUCACUGUGGGCUGGCAUUUUCUCUGUCAGACACAAAAUCAUUGUGUAAGGGCUUGGCCCCUCUUGGGCAACUCUGUCUACCCAACAUGUGACCAUCCUUACAGUACCUCUCUGAGGUGCUCAGAGCUCAGAUCCUGGAGCUGACUCCCUGUGAGUCUACAGUCAGUAGAGAAAUAGAUGCUGAUGAAGAAACUAAAUUUUGCUUUCCAUGAAAGACUUUGUCUCCCAAGUUCGGGCUCUGGACAGGUGUUUACAGGAACUAUGUUUUAGAAAGACACACACACACAAACACACACACAUACACACACACACACAACCAGCCGUCAUUCUAGAUUCAAACACCUAAGUUUAGAAAAGCUGCCUCUUGAGGCCAAAGCCACUCCUCUUCAAGGCUGGCAGAGGAAUGGAACAAAAGGAACAAUUUAUAACUUGAGAGAACUUUAGCCCUCACCUCAGAUUGGGAGACCAGCAAGACUUUCAUUAUCUUCAGGAGAACUGUGCCAGUGCCCCUUUGGAAAUUCAAGAUCUCUGAGCUUUCUCUGCCUGUUGCAUCCACAAGGUACAACCACUUAACAGUUUGCAAGACAUUACUGGAGGUUAACAGAUCUGAGGCUGCCCACCUAAAGGCCUCAGGUGGAGGACCCCCAACCCCAAAAUAAGACUCUAUGACUCCUCCUCCCUACCACCCAGGCCUCAAAGGGCAUGAACAGUAGACUUGAGAAAACAUCUACCCCAUGCCCUGCCCAUGAUUCAGACCAUGCCUCCAGCAUAUACUAUAAUUUUAAAAUUAACAUAUUAAAACAUCAAGCCGAGCCUCCAUAGGUGACCCAUUACAACAUCUUUCAUGCUUUGAUCUUGUUAAUGGGCCAAUGAGUGUAGAUCAUUCAAUUUAGCACUCUAAAGGACAAUCCAGAGUCAGGCUCAGUGGGGGCUGAUGAUAAAAAAAGGAAUUUGGUGUGACUAGAGGAACACCAUGGUAUAGCCAGAAAACUAUAUGCAACGAGUUAUCUUUCAAGCUAGGCCUAAAUUCAGAUUAUGGGAGAACAGGGAGGCAAUCUAUUUAUAGAUGGGAAGGAAAAAUUAGGAAAUGGCCUUAUCAAAGAGAUGUUGGGUUGAGCUUUGGAUCUUCACGAGGAAGGACUCCAAAUAGUAGAAGGGAGGCAAGAUGCAAAUGCGUCUGAGAAAAGGCAAGGAUCUGGUAAAGCUGAGUCAUGACCUGAUAUGGGAGAGUACUGGAAGAGGAAAAGAAAGAGAAAAGAUGGCCAUUAGCUCCAUUACACCUGAUGUCCAGCAGAAUAUAACCUGGGAUGUGGAAAGAGCAUAAGAAAGAGAGAGAGAUUAGCAAGAUGGCUGCCAUACUGAACACUUGGGCAUGACCACCAGAACUAGCCAGCUUCUCCUUCGAGGAGUAGCAUCUGUAGUGAAAAAUGGGUUGAAAGAGGGAAGCCACUUCUAGCCCUAGCACUCACAGGCUGGGAGAUCUUGGAUGAGUUCUCAGCUCACCAGCUAUCACUUGUACAAGGACAGUGUUCUUAUGAUAUUGCAUUCUUCCUAGCAGAACACAGAUGAGUUCAUAAAGGGGGUCAGUAGAGCAAGGCUUAAUAAAGAUGUUGCUUAUAAAGGGAGGGGCAACAAGUGAUGGGGAAAUGAUAGGAUUUGCAACAGCUGGCAACUGUUAUCACUCUUGGAUUUGAAGGGACAAGAGAAUGAAACUAUUAGCUGUAAUGAAAGCUGCAUGAGCAGGCAUGUGCUCAUUGCUAGAGAAUGCAGCCACUGCCAAUUGUGGCAAGGCAGGUGGAGGCCUUAAUAAUGAACACUCCAUCCUACAACUACUCUUCAGUGCCUCUCACUGAACAUAUGUAAAAAGCCAGAUGACAAAGGGUCUGGUUGAGGCAAUCUAUACAUACCAUCUUCCCACACAGAGAGAGAUACAGAAGGAGGCAAAGGGAAACAUCUCAUGUGGAUGGUAGGGUGACAAAUUGAAUAGUUAAUUAUAUGCUUAUAAUAAAGACUAUCCAAAACUCUUAUUGGUUAGGAUGAGGCUAAUGCAUAUAUUUAAAUUGUUAAAAAAGAAAUUUAAAG